rnacentral:pre_miRNA from 1 species
AGGGGAAUAGCUGGGUCACAUGGUGGUUCCAUUCCCAGAUUUCCAAGGAAUCUCCAUACUGCUUUCCAAAUUGGCUGCACCAAUUUACAGUCCCACCAACAAU